CUGUUUUGGUUCCCAGUUACUGUGUGUGUGUGUGUGUGUAGUAAAUAUAUAUAUGUAUGCGUUUACUUACUGCCCUUAUUUUAGUACAAGUGUUUUAAAAUGAGAAUAUUUCCUGCAUAAUAUAAAAUCUAAUACCCAGUCCAUAUUUAAAUAUCUCCAUUUGUUAAAAAAAAGUCCUUUAUAGCUAGUUUCUUCAGAUAAGGAUCUAUAUAUAAAAAUUGGCCAUUGUCUCCUAGGUUUCUUAUAGUCUAGAAUAAAUCAUUUUUCAUUACAUUGACUUUUGACAGGCUGGACCAGAUGUCCUACCCUUUUGGAAUUGUCUAGUUAUUUAUUUGUAGUAUGACAUUUCUUUAUUUUAUUCCUGUAUGUACAUCAAACUUGAAGUUAGAUCUAAAGUGUCAGUCAAUUUAAGUGAAACAUUUUAUAUCUUAGGUAAUGUAUACUUCAUGUUGCAUCUUAUUAGAUGUUUUUAAAGCUUUAUAUAUAUAUAUAAGUUGAAUCUUGUUGACUUUCUCAAAAUCCUGAGGAAUCUGCAGUGCAUCAACAUCUCCACAGUAGGUACCAUAAAUGGUUAACAGUUUCUGUAAGGCAACUUUGCACUAGCCUAUUUUGAGCAUAGAACACAACUUUGAAGAUUAAAUCCCAUCCAGGGACUGAUUGGUAGAAGACAACUAGUCAGGGAACAUAGGAGGGAAAUACUUAAUUGCCAUAAAGUGGGUAGAUACCAGUCCACAAAUAAUUCUAAAUUAACUACGAAUAUGCUGUUUCAUGUUUGUAGACUCAUAGAUGUUUUGUGUUAUUAGUGGCUGUUCUGGAUUAUAAACUCCCAUGAGAGGUUAUUUUAAAAUCAGAAUUUUUAAUUUUUAAUAUUUAUCACUACUGCUUAUAUCCUCACUUUAACCUACCUAAUGCUGUUUCACUCAAAUGUCUUUUCUUUCUUCCCUGUAACAGUUGUGCAGAAGAUUCUGACCUUAUUUGAGGCUUACAUAUAGGUGAAUAUCCAUUUCUCCAUUGAUUCAGAGUACUAUGUACUAAAACAAAUGAAAAGGAAAUAUUAAGUUUUAGUUCCUUAACACAGACAGUGAACAUGUCAAUCUGUUUUUAUUUGUAACUGCAGAAUUUUAAGAUACCAGUUCAAAAUUACAGAUAAACAUAAAUACCAAGACACACAACUCCAACUAAAAACAUCCCCAGGAAUUUCCAGUUUCUUAUAUUUUCUCCAUUUUUUUGAGGGGGAUGAAAAGGGAAGAUGAUCUGUUCUCAAAGUCUUCCAAAUUACAGAAACUUGAUAGAGUGAGGAUUGGCUCAGAUAUAUAAAUCUUGGCGAUCAGAAUCUUUAAGUUCUUGCUUACCUUUAAAUCUGGAAAUAAGUUGGGACCAAGUAAGAUUCAACAUGGUCAGACUAGACUGUGCGAGCAAGAACCAGAAUCAUUUAAUAUCUCUGAUGCCUUAGUUGCAUCAUCUGUAAAAUAGGGAUAAUAGCAGCGACCUUGGAUAAUGAUUACAUGAGUUUAUUCCUGUAGUAGUAAGUAAAAGUGUCUGAUGUGAUAAGUGUGCAGUAAAUGUUAGCGUUAUCAUGAUUGUAUAUCUGAACCCCCUUAUUUCCAGCCUUGGUCUAACAACCAAAUUGGCUUCUUUUUUUGAAAGGUUUGGAGAUGUGGAAAGGAGUGGAAAAAGAAAUAUGUAAGCUGAAGUGCCAAACUCACACUGAAAUAAAGGGCAUGGCCUACCAGCUGACAAGGAGUGUCUGGUUUCAAGAUGGCAAAUGACCCUAAACAUGAUAGACAAAUACGUUUUACAUAGGUACAUGCACAGAUAGGCACAUAUAAAUCCACAUUUGCAAGCAAAAAGUGGAACCUGUAAAGCAGAAUUUCUGAGGAAUCUCUAAAAGACUAAUACUAUAUGGAAUUUGAAGAGGAAACCCAGAGCAGAAGCACAUAGUGAAGUACUGCCACAAAGAUGUGUGACGCCACUAAAGGUGCUCUAGACCCACAAGAAAGGAAAACUGGGAGCAGGACAACUAUCUGGAUAUUGACUGCACAUGCCAAUAUCUCAGUCAGACUAACAGAAUCAGAGCUUUAGGCAGAGAAAUGAAUGGUUGGAGAGAGAAGGCAAUGCCCAGGUGCCCUGCUUUGAAAUGUCCCGCCCAUCCCCAAAUUAGUCUGAAAAUUUCAAAUGUUGUAUAAAUUCCCUUCCCAUCAAAAGUGUCCCAUAAACAGCAGUGGUAGAAGAGUUUUAACUGAGUAUCACAGCUUCAAUGAUGAGUAUAGAAAACUCCAAAAAUCUGAAUACCAACACAAUCAAAAAAGAGGUACAAACCACAAGUGGAAGAACCAUCUCAAGAAAUAAUGAAGCAUUCAUGGAAUACAGAUUAGCAACUCUUUAAAACAGUAUUGCCAAGAGAAACAGAUGGCAUUGCAGUUGUCAGAUCUCAUUAAGGUCUUAUAUCUGAAACAGUUCCACUGUCUUCCAUAACUUUCAUAACUUUGAACAUUUUGGUAAGUAUAAACCCUUAAAUUGGUUUUGUCUGGUAUUCCUCAUGAUUAAACUAGUCAUCCAUUCACUUUUCAACCCACUACAGUUUGGCUUUUCUCUGCUUGUUGCCUGAAAUCAGCAAUGCCAUUGUAAACUGCCAAAUCUAAUGGACCAUACAGGAUAAAUCCAAGCAAAGAUCUGUCUACUGCCUUCACACAAC
rnacentral:lncRNA from 1 species